GUCGACUCUCCGUGGCCAAACGUAUGGCAAAGUCAUUUAGCCUGCUAUUAACCGCAACCCUGCUUAACAAGCAUGUAGCUUUCACAUCUGAUGUUUGCCUUAUUUCAUCAGAAUUCAGAGGGAAGGACUGCACCCUUUGAAUAAGUUCCAUUCAACCUUCCAUCACAGUGCAAGCUGGGUUCAAUUUAGGCAAGACUUAGCAUAACGAAAUCACUUCCUGGACCACGUGUGCCCAGAGGAUGUAGCCUACCAUGUGACCUGCAGGUGGCCCACACAGCUAAGCACAAGGCGUUUAAAGAACUCUGGAGAGGAAGACAUUGAGCUCAAACAAAGCUGUUCCCUUAAUAAAGAAAAAAAGCAGGGACCUCCUUCUGCAGCUGAGUAGUCGCUCAAGACACAGAGAAUGGCUAGUCACCCGCUGGACAAGAGUGCAAGAAUAUACUUGGUACAAUUUUGGGGAAAUUGGAUUCUUAUGAAGGUGUGAGGAUAUGAUCCCAUCCAUUCCUUCUGGAUUACGAGGCCUCAGGGGUUUCCAUGUCCUGGCCCAUGUAUCCUGUCGUAUUGCCUAUGGUUGACUCAGGAGGCAAGACCUUUAGAGGCUGAUGACGGAUUUAAAGACUCGUUGACAGCUCUGGAACAAUGACCCAGAGAGGAAUCUGGGAAAUUCUGGGCUUGGAGCAAUACAGAAUACUAUUGUUUGAUUUCCCAUUUCUGACGGAGACUCACUGGAAAGGAAAUACAGCUGGAUAGCCCCUGUGGCAUGGCUGUGGCAUGAAGCCUUAUGAUAUUCAGACAUCACAAAAGCCAGCUGCAAAGUGGUCAGUGGAACAAUGUGGAGCAGUGGGUCCCACAGUCCUUGAAAUUCACAGGGCAAGUGAAAUGAAAAUUGGUCAGGGGAAUAUUGC